rnacentral:lncRNA from 1 species
CAAAAACAUGUCGUGCAUAUCGGCCGCUAUAAAGUCUUUUUGAGUUUUUACAUUAUUAGUUAGCAAUAAUUGCUGUGUUCUCUUGUCGAGACAUGACUUGAAGCAUUUAUGUCGCUAUCUCCCUCCAACCCCACCACCAAAAUAUAUGUAUAGUUAAGAGAAUAAGAAAAAAAAACCAAACAAACAAAUAACGAAAUAACGAAAACACAUAAAAAAAUAUAAAGUUGACCAAGUUUGAGCUCAGUAAUAUACUCUACUCUAAAUACAAAUUACCAUAGCAACCAUAUACACCAAAAUGUUUAUACAUAUUUAUUAAUCUAUUAAUAAACAACCACAUUGUAAAC